GGGGUUUUUCUUGAGCCUUCUUCCUGCCU
rnacentral:piRNA from 1 species